GUAGGUGGCAAGCGUUGUCCGGAAUUAUUGGGCGUAAAGCGCGCGCAGGCGGUUCUUUAAGUCUGAUGUGAAAGCCCACGGCUCAACCGUGGAGGGUCAUUGGAAACUGGAGAACUUGAGUACAGAAGAGGAAAGCGGAAUUCCAUGUGUAGCGGUGAAAUGCGUAGAGAUGUGGAGGAACACCAGUGGCGAAGGCGGCUUUCUGGUCUGUAACUGACGCUGAGGCGCGAAAGCGUGGGGGAGCAAACAGGAUUAGAUACCCUGGUAGUCCACGCCGUAAACGAUGAGUGCUAAGUGUUAGGGGGUUUCCGCCCCUUAGCGCUGCAGCUAACGCAUUAAGCACUCCGCCUGGGAGUACGGCCGCAAGGCUG
rnacentral:rRNA from 1 species